rnacentral:rRNA from 1 species
CGUAGCCGCGGUAAUACGUAGGUGGCAAGCGUUGUCCGGAAUUAUUGGGCGUAAAGCGCGCGCAGGUGGUUUAAUAAGUCUGAUGUGAAAGCCCACGGCUCAACCGCGGAGGGUCAUUGGAAACUGGUUGACUUGAGUGCAGAAGAGGAGAGUGGAAUUCCAUGUGUAGCGGUGAAACGCGUAGAUAUAUGGAGGAACACCAGUGGCGAAGGCGACUCUCUGGUCUGUAACUGACGCUGAGGCUCGAAAGCGUGGGUAGCAAACAGGAUUAGAUACCCCUGUAGUCCCUGUCUCUUAUACA